rnacentral:rRNA from 1 species
UACAGAGGUGGCAAGCGUUGUUCGGAAUUACUGGGCGUAAAGGGCGCGUAGGCGGCUCGACAAGUCCCGCGUGAAAUCCCCCGGCUCAACUGGGGAACUGCGCGGGAAACUGUCGGACUUGAGUUCGGGAGAGGGAAGCGGAAUUCCGGGUGUAGCGGUGAAAUGCGUAGAUAUCCGGAGGAACACCGGUGGCGAAGGCGGCUUCCUGGACCGACACUGACGCUGAGGCGCGAAAGCGUGGGGAGCAAACAGG